AGAGUUUGAUCCUGGCUCAGGACGAACGCUGGCGGCACGCUUAACACAUGCAAGUCGAACGAGAGAAGAGGAGCUUGCUUUUCUGAUCUAGUGGCGGACGGGUGAGUAACACGUGAGCAAUCUGCCUUUCAGAGGGGGAUACCGAUUGGAAACGAUCGUUAAUACCGCAUAACAUAAUUGAACCGCAUGAUUUGAUUAUCAAAGAUUUAUCGCUGAAAGAUGAGCUCGCGUCUGAUUAGCUAGUUGGUAAGGUAACGGCUUACCAAGGCGACGAUCAGUAGCCGGACUGAGAGGUUGAUCGGCCACAUUGGGACUGAGACACGGCCCAGACUCCUACGGGAGGCAGCAGUGGGGAAUAUUGCACAAUGGAGGAAACUCUGAUGCAGCGAUGCCGCGUGAGGGAAGAAGGUUUUAGGAUUGUAAACCUCUGUCUUCAGGGACGAAAAAAGACGGUACCUGAGGAGGAAGCUCCGGCUAACUACGUGCCAGCAGCCGCGGUAAUACGUAGGGAGCGAGCGUUGUCCGGAAUUACUGGGUGUAAAGGGAGCGUAGGCGGGAUCGCAAGUCAGAUGUGAAAACUAUGGGCUUAACCCAUAAACUGCAUUUGAAACUGUGGUUCUUGAGUGAAGUAGAGGUAAGCGGAAUUCCUAGUGUAGCGGUGAAAUGCGUAGAUAUUAGGAGGAACAUCAGUGGCGAAGGCGGCUUACUGGGCUUUAACUGACGCUGAGGCUCGAAAGCGUGGGGAGCAAACAGGAUUAGAUACCCUGGUAGUCCACGCCGUAAACGAUGAUUACUAGGUGUGGGGGGACUGACCCCUUCCGUGCCGCAGCAAACGCAAUAAGUAAUCCACCUGGGGAGUACGACCGCAAGGUUGAAACUCAAAGGAAUUGACGGGGGCCCGCACAAGCAGUGGAGUAUGUGGAUUAAUUCGAAGCAACGCGAAGAACCUUACCAGGUCCUGACAUCGUAUGCAUAGCUCAGAGAUGAGUGAAAUCUCUUCGGAGACAUAUAGACAGGUGGUGCAUGGUUGUCGUCAGCUCGUGUCGUGAGAUGUUGGGUUAAGUCCCGCAACGAGCGCAACCCUUACUGUUAGUUGCUACGCAAGAGCACUCUAGCAGGACUGCCGUUGACAAAACGGAGGAAGGUGGGGAUGACGUCAAAUCAUCAUGCCCCUUAUGACCUGGGCCUCACACGUACUACAAUGGCUGUCAACAGAGGGAAGCAAAGCCGCGAGGUGGAGCGAACCCCUAAAAGCAGUCUUAGUUCGGAUUGUAGGCUGCAACCCGCCUACAUGAAGUCGGAAUUGCUAGUAAUCGCAGAUCAGCAUGCUGCGGUGAAUACGUUCCCGGGCCUUGUACACACCGCCCGUCACGCCAUGGGAGUCGGUAACACCCGAAGCCUGUAGUCUAACCGCAAGGAGGACGCAGUCGAAGGUGGGAUUGAUGACUGGGGUGAAGUCGUAACAAGGUA
rnacentral:rRNA from 1 species